rnacentral:rRNA from 1 species
CUUUCAURCAGCGAAAGYGUGAYAGGGCUAUYCCGAGUGCCAUCCGCUGUAUGAAGGCUUUGACCCWKUCUAGAACACGCUGGGGGAAUAAGGAGAGGGUCUACAGUCUGGUGUCAGCCGCCGCGGUACAUACCAGCUUCUUCUAGUGGUGUGGAUGUUUAUUGGGUCCUAGAAGCAAUCCGAUAUGCUGGCUAGGUAAUGAUCCCUUGUUAAAUCCACCGUAAUUAAUCCGUGUGGAUCUGCGCGUGGAUACUGCUUGGCUAUGCGCAYCAGAGAGGCAGACGGAAUUUUCCGGGUACGGGWGAAAUCCWAUAAUCCCGGAAAUACCACCAAUGACKAAGGYUGUCUGMUACAACGCGCACGACCAGUGAGGGAUGAAACGCUGRCCGAGCGAACCGGAUUAGAUACCCUGCGGUAGUCCCAGCUGUAACUCAUGACUAUACUACGUGUUUGGACGCGCCACGUGCCGUUCUACGAURCCGCAGGGAAGCUGUUAAGUCUGCCGCCUGGGGAGUACGAUCGCAAGAUUGAAACUUACCGGAAUUGCGGGGGGACCACAAAGGUUGAAACUUAAAGGAAUUGGCGGGGGAACACA